rnacentral:rRNA from 1 species
GUGUCAGCCGCCGCGGUAAUACGGAGGGUGCAAGCGUUGUUCGGAAUUACUGGGCGUAAAGCGCGUGUAGGCGGCCAUUCAAGUCAGUCGUGAAAGCCCUCGGCUUAACCGGGGAAGUGCGAUUGAAACUGCAUGGCUUGAGUACGGGAGAGGGAGGCGGAAUUCCCAGUGUAGAGGUGAAAUUCGUAGAUAUUGGGAGGAACACCGGUGGCGAAAGCGGCCUCCUGGACCGAUACUGACGCUGAGACGCGAGAGCGUGGGGAGCAAACAGGAUUAGAUACCCUAGUAGUCC